GAUGAACGCUAGCGACAGGCUUAACACAUGCAAGUCGAGGGGCAGCAUAAAAGUAGCAAUACUUUGGUGGCGACCGGCGCACGGGUGAGUAACGCGUAUGCAACCUACCUAUCAGAGGGGGAUAACCCGGCGAAAGUCGGACUAAUACCGCAUAAAACAGGGGCACCGCAUGGUGAUAUUUGUUAAAAAUUUAUUGCUGAUAGAUGGGCAUGCGUUCCAUUAGGUAGUUGGAGAGGUAACGGCUCACCAAGCCCACGAUGGAUAGGGGAACUGAGAGGUUGGUCCCCCACACUGGUACUGAGACACGGACCAGACUCCUACGGGAGGCUG
rnacentral:rRNA from 1 species